GGACGGUGCUGUUGGAGACAGCAGAAGGGCAAAGCUGCUUGGACGGCUCACUGUGAUUGCAGACGCCACUUCUGGGCUCCCGGUUCUCCAGGGCGCAGGAUGAGGGCUGCAGUUCCCUCUAAGUCCUUUGAGCUCUGCUGAUUCCCAGAUACUGUCCCUGGAAACCUCAUACCUGGCUUGAUUCAGCCGGGAGGGCACUCCGCGCACCCCAGCCGAGCGCUGAGCCAGGUCAACUGAGGCCAAGGUGCUUCCCGGAGAAAUAAACCCGCUCUGUCUGUGCAGGAAGCGACUGACGCUACAUUUCACAGUGCAGACCUUACUUUAAAAGUCAAGUGUGAGAACCACUUAUGAUAUGGGAGAAAUUAUAAGAAUUUAAGUGUAGAACAAUCUGACCUUUAGGGAGAUAUUUUUUUGGAGGGGGAACACUUUAUUCAGGAACAUGUUCAGUCAUUGCAAUGACUGAAGACUUUG